GGUUGGUCCGAGAGUAGUGGUGUUUAC
rnacentral:piRNA from 2 species